GGAAGACGUAGCUCAGUGGCAGGGCACUUGUCUUGCAUGCAGAAGGCCUCGGGUUCAAUUCCCACACAGGGUCUCCA